AACGAACGCUGGCGGCGCGGCCUAACACAUGCAAGUCGAGCGAGAAUGAGGGCUUCGGCCUUCUAGUAAAGCGGCGCACGGGUGAGUAACACGUGGGUAAUCUGCCCAACGGUGCAGGAAAACGCUCCGAAAGGAACGCUAAUACUGCAUAAGACCACAGUUUCUGCGGAGACAGGGGUCAAAGAGGGUCUGCUUCGGCAGGCACUUGCCGAUGGAUGAGCCCGNGGCCCAUUAGGUAGUUGGUGAGGUAAUGGCUCACCAAGCCUACGAUGGGUAGCUGGUCUGAGAGGAUGAUCAGCCGACACUGGAACUGAGACACGGUCCAGACUCCUACGGGAGGCAGCAGUGGGGAAUUUUGCGCAAU
rnacentral:rRNA from 1 species